ACUCUUUUAGUACCAAAUAGUACGACUGACUUCCAAUCAGUAAGCCUUGGUCAAAUCCAAGAAAGAGUA
rnacentral:tRNA from 1 species